AGGAUAUUGAGUGUCUGUAAGAAUUUGAAACAGGCUACAGAUCAAUUUGUGUGUUGCCGGUUGACAUGAAGCCUCCUUCGGUCAACAAUGCCACAAACGUUUCAUUGACAUCAGGAGUGCACAUGCCUUUGUCUCAGGGAACCCGGCACCACAGUGAGGCUGGACAGGUUAACAACAUACUAGCCAACUUCCUCUUCAGUGUUCAGCUUAAACUGCAACUGGACAGCUCAAUCAAUAUCAUUUGGUUUAUCCGUGGCAAAUGGUUUGUGCUAUUACUAAAAUCAACUCAUAGUUUCAAGCGAUAUUGUUUAGAUCAUAGGAUUUAAUGGCUCUCCCAUACAAAUAUGUAAGCACUGUCUAUAUAGGAUCUGAAGGCUGAAGCUUAAAUUCCAGCAAAAAUCUCUUGAAAUAUUAUGUGCACGGUGUGGAUUCUUGAGUUUACACAACUUCUGAAAUGACAUGUGUCUUCUCUGGUCCCUUUUCUCUGUCAACUACUUAAAUUGUUAGUGAUAAAAAUAUCAUUUGCAAAUAAAUUGUAUUUUCACCAUAUAGAAGGUUGAUUUUACCUGUGUUCACUUAAAUGGUGACCUACUUGAACUUCCUUUUUCUUAUGCCUACUAAUGAUGUUCUGCCAAUAGGAUUCUCAUGCGCUGGUUUAAUGUACCUCAGCCAAUUCAUUGAGAAAGUUGGUGGGAAGCUCCCAAAACGGCGUGUGUCGGUUUGUGAUGCUUCCGCAAAGUAUCAACUCAGCCGCAUGUCCUCCUUGCUCAGCUAGGUCUGCCUCUUCUUUUCUAAAGGCAUAUGUUGAUUUCUCUGAACAUUGGUUGGACAUUGCCCAUGUAACACUCCAGCUCCUAUCACCUUAACCCCAGGUGAUACCGAUGCAUCACGUAGGUGUGUAUUAGGCUAAUAUCUACCAUGGUAUAACUUCUCUUCAUGAUAAUAUUUUUUUCGGUGCUUUGAUGUGUUAUCAGGUGAUUUCUCUGGUCAGACAUAAAUAUGCUAUUGAGGAUGUACUCAGUGGUAUUCCAAGCAAAGCAUGGCCAAUAUUUUUAUAGGUACAGCGCUGACUAUUAUUUCCUUACCUUUCAAAACCAUAAUUCUAGCAGUGCUUGAAGUUUUCCUUGUUCCCCUUUUUUUGUUCUUUGGAUUAUCCCAAAAAAAGGCAAUUAUGUUACUCUAGCUAAUGUACAUACCAAUUGGUUCAAUCUGAAAUUUAUAUUGUUUGUGGUGUUGGUUUGAAGCUAAAAGUGAAAGUGAUCAGUGCGAUACAUUUUGGUUUGAUUGGAACUGUAGCCUUCUUUUGUAUUUUUUGGCUCAGUUGAGAUGUUUAAACAACUAUGUUGCUUCCGAAAACAAAUGCUGAUGCAAUUUCUCCGAGACAAAUAUAAUAUUUGCAUCCCUCUUUUUCCUAAUAUUCUGUUACCUUU